UCCGGCAUUUGCAUUGCAUAUGUUACAUGAUUACAUAUAUGAUGGAGCACGGAUGCUCAUAUCCAUCUACAGUGAAAUAGCUCAUCAUUUCCUUUCCAAUUUAGUGGAGGCGAAGCAACCCAAGCUCCACACCCCCACACGCACCACCAAUUAAUUUGGGAUUGAUGAACGCAACAAAAAGUGAUAAUUAAGAAAGAGCCUCUUAGAUCAAAGAGCAAUGUUUGACUAAUAAAUACAAAUUCACAUCUUACAUUUGCUAGGAGAAACCAAACAGUCCAAGCAACACUUGGUAUGCGGGGAAUUCCCCUUUUCGAAAAGAAAAGAAAAAAAAAAGCAACACUUGGUUCUCUGUUUUUCUUCGUACGGUACUGAAGUUAGUUUGCAGGCCACCAAUCCAUUUAAUUAUUUUGCGGCCUUGCUACAUCGGACAGGGAGGCAAUGCAUGGACACGGCCGGAGAGAAGCAUAUGGGAACGGGGAGAGACGGGCACGGAGAGAUAGGGAGUUGUGGUACAGAUCAGAUCGAUCUUGAUGCUUGAGGUUAAUUGGCCUUGGAAAACUACAGGCAAAGUGGUCCUCUCAUGCAAAAAGAAUCUUAAUUAUGACCAAGUGCACUGUUGCAGUGGCCCAUGGAUUAUAUGGGGGCGCAGGACGCGCCCAUGCUGCUCCAAUUUGCCUCCCCCUCUCUCUGGCUCUGGGACCCACUCAUACAAAAACAGGUUUAAUUGGUCUGGAAAGAUAACAAGCUCAACUGUCUAAUAAAAGAACAAAAGAAAAUUGAUGUCUUUGUGCUAUCUUGUACUCCGUAUUUCUCACUCGACAUUAAUAGCUACAGUCUGAUUAAUUAAGAUCUUCUCAUUCCUCUUGU
rnacentral:lncRNA from 1 species